rnacentral:rRNA from 1 species
CAAGUCGAGCGGACAGAUGGGAGCUUGCUCCCUGAUGUUAGCGGCGGACGGGUGAGUAACACGUGGGUAACCUGCCUGUAAGACUGGGAUAACUCCGGGAAACCGGGGCUAAUACCGGAUGGUUGUUUGAACCGCAUGGUUCAAACAUAAAAGGUGGCUUCGGCUACCACUUACAGAUGGACCCGCGGCGCAUUAGCUAGUUGGUGAGGUAACGGCUCACCAAGGCGACGAUGCGUAGCCGACCUGAGAGGGUGAUCGGCCACACUGGGACUGAGACACGGCCCAGACUCCUACGGGAGGCAGCAGUAGGGAAUCUUCCGCAAUGGACGAAAGUCUGACGGAGCAACGCCGCGUGAGUGAUGAAGGUUUUCGGAUCGUAAAGCUCUGUUGUUAGGGAAGAACAAGUACCGUUCGAAUAGGGCGGUACCUUGACGGUACCUAACCAGAAAGGCACGGCUAACUACGUGCCAGCAGCCGCGGUAAUACGUAGGUGGCAAGCGUUGUCCGGAAUUAUUGGGCGUAAAGGGCUCGCAGGCGGUUUCUUAAGUCUGAUGUGAAAGCCCCCGGCUCAACCGGGGAGGGUCAUUGGAAAACUGGGGAACUUUGAGUGCAGAAGAGGGAGAGUGGAAUUCCACGUGUAGCCGGGUGAAAUGCGUAGAGAUGUGGAGGAACACCAGUGGCGAAAGGCCGACUCUCC